rnacentral:rRNA from 1 species
UUCCACGUGAACCGUUAAAAUUAUGUUCUGUGCCUUCUCUCGGGAGGGCUGAACGAAGGUGGCCUGCGAUGCUUUAUUGCGUYGCGGACUGCCGAUGCUUUUUCAAACCCAUUACCUAAUACUGAUCUAUACUCCUAAAACGAAAGUUUUUGGUUUUAAUCCAUAACAACUUUCAGCAGUGGAUGUCUAGGCUCGCACAUCGAUGAAGAACGCUGCGAACUGCGAUACGUAAUGCGAAUUGCAGAAUUCAGUGAGUCAUCGAAAUUUUGAACGCACAUUGCACUUUCGGGUUAUGCCUGGAAGUAUGCUUGUAUCAGUGUCCGUACAUCAAACUUGCCUUUCUUGUUUUGUGUAGUCAAGACGAGAGACGGCAGAAUGUGAGGUGUCUCGCUGGCUCCCUCCUCGGAGGAGAAGACGCGAGUCCCUUUAAAUGUACGUUCGCUCUUUCUUGUGCCUGGGAUUGAAGUGUGACUUUCGAACGCGGUGAUCUGUUUGGAUCGCUUUGCGCGAGUGGGCGACUUCGGUUAGGACAUUAAAGGAAGUGACCUCUAUUGGCGGUAUGUUAGGCUUCGGCCCGACUUUGCAGCUGACGGGGUGUUGUUUUCUGUUCUUUCCUUGAGGUGUACCUGUCUUGUGUGAGGCAAUGGUCUG